CUUGUGCCACCUGUCCCCAGUUACUCAUUAGUUCCAGUCUGUAUAUAAGUCUUUGUGUUUCCCCCAUGUGGUGGUUGGUUCGUCAUCGUCAUUUCUGGUCUGGUCCUGUCCGUCAUCUCGGGUCAGUCCUGUCCGUCAGCUCAAUUCUGGUUCUGUCUGUUCAUGUGUCCCGUCAGCUCUCGUCACGUUACCCCAUAUCAACAACAAACUGUAUAUCACAAACUUUGGAACCAGCAGUAAACUGGAUCUUUCAUUAACAGCAUUGGUUUCUAAAAUGACUGGACUGUUUUCUUGGUCCAGUUAUGAGGAUGUUGGAGGCCCACAAUGCAAGUACAAGAAGGAAUCAGAUAUCCAAAUAGCGGGGUGCUUGGCGCAUUACAUCCUUACUGAUGGGCAACAUCCCUAUCAAACCACAACACCCUACUCCAAUGAUCCAAUGGGGCUAUCUCAAAAUGUGAGAACAGGCAACUUCACUCUUCAGUGUGAAAAAAGACUGAGGAGCCAAAAAGGUAUUAUUACAAGAAUGCUGAGUGGAUCAUUUGAAGAACUUCCUACCAUUGAAGAAUGCCUUCAGGCUGUCACAUGUAACAGAUUAGCCCGGUGGUGACAGCCAGCCCAUUCAAAGCACCAGGCCCAGCGCUCCCAUAGGA